GAUGAAGAACGUAGCGAAAUGCGAUAAGUAGUGUGAAUUGAAGAAUUCAGUGAAUCAUCGAAUCUUUGAACGCACAUUGCGCCCCUUGGUAUUCCAUGGGGCAUGCCUGUUCGAGCGUCAUUUGUACCUUCAAGCUUUGCUUGGUGUUGGGUGUUUGUCUCGCCUUUGCGUGUAGACUCGCCUUAAAAUAAUUGGCAGCCGGCGUAUUGAUUUCGGAGCGCAGUACAUCUCGCGCUUUGCACUCAUAACGACAGCGUCCAAAAGUACAUUUUACACUCUUGACCUCGGAUCAGGUAGGGAUACCCGCUGAACUUAAGCAUAUCAAUAAGCGGAGGA
rnacentral:misc_RNA from 1 species